UAGCCCAAAUGAUUUUGUCUGGUUUUUCAGUUACAUUUCAUAUAUUUUCAUAACUUUUUUAGAUUUUUUUCUUUAAUCCAAUUUUUAAAGAAACACAAAUUUUUCAAAGAAUAUGUCAUUAACUUGUUAUAACCAGACUUUAAUUCAUAAUCUGACUCAAAAAUGUGGAACCAGUUCGGAAAAGAAUAUUGUCUUAAUUUGGAUGACAAUUCAAAAUGUUUUCUGUUGACAAUAAGUUGUAUCAAGAGUUAUAAUACCAAUUUGACUAUAUGGUUUUUGACCCUGAAGUUCCUCUCAGGUUACUUUCUUGUGUUCACCUUUUCAAUAUUACCAUGUAUGACACUUUACAUAUUUCAGACACCAGAAGCCACAGGGUGUUUUAGUAAUUUUUGAAUUAACCACUUUGACUUUGUUGCAGUAUCCAUGUAUUGUUUUUAAUUAUAUCUAUAUUAUGUUGUUAGGAGAAUUAAUUCUAAAUACUUAACUGUAAAGCAAAUAUUUGCAUUAGAACUUACCUACAUUGUAGGUAAAAAUGUGUUUCAAUACAAGCUCUCCAAAUAAAAUGAGACUUGUUCAAAAUUUGAAACUUUGUAAUUCCAUUGAUACAGUUGAAUAUUAAAUGUAAGCCUCAUUGUUUUGAAAAACAGAAAAUUCUGUUAAUGUAUAGAUACUGGAAAGUAUUAUACAUAUACAAAGCAUAUGAUUUUAUGAACUUGUGUUAAAAACCAUUCACAUUACAGCAAAUAUGUCCUGCACUGGUUUUUAAGUUUUAAGUUUUAUGUACAUUGCGAAAUAGUCAGGCAUAAUUUUUUUAAAGUUAUUUUGUUAUCUCAGACUGAACUUGUGAUGAAAUAUACUUAUUUAAUAACAAUUAGACUGCUAUUUUUAUAAUGUGUUUACCUGUGUACGCCAGUGAGGGUGAGAUAGUGCUGUCUUUUGAGACUUUUAUGGCGGAACACUCAUGAAUUCGAGGUUAAAAAGAGACAUAGUCAUGCAGACCUAAGAUUGUUCUUAAUUGAAGUUACCAAAGGAUUUGUGUAUGGUUUGUUACCAAGAGAUACAAGGGAGCUAAUUCAAUAUCAUUAACCUGCAUGAAACAUAUCAUAAAUUUGUCUUUAAAUUUGUCCACUAUUUUGAUUUGCCAAUAUUUAUUUAAUGCAUGUUUAACAAGAAUAAUAAUGAAGUACUGGUCAUAUCCUUUUUACAUGGUUUAUAUUAAUUAAUUAUGGACAUAUUAAUUUCUAUUUGUUUAUUAUUCUUCCAAUAUUAGUACUAUCUACAAGAAUAUACUAAUAACAUGUUGCUUGCAUAGUUGGUAUAUUAGGUUGGAGAUUUUUUUUAACCAGGUACCUAUGAAAUUUAACUGUAACAGGUGUGUUAUAAGACUUAGUUUUAGUGUGGGUGAUUGUAUGUUUUUACCUUUUUCCAUUGCAUAAUUACCUAGAGUAUUAUGGAAUCUUCCUGUAGUUCGUUAAGAUGCUUCAGGAUACGAACCUUUAUGAAGAGUGAUAAGAUUGAUACAGGCCAAGAUAAUCCUGGAUUUUUUCAUAUUGAUUUUUUUGUUUAUUGAUCUUCUACUUGACUUCUGUUGUUGUUGUUAAUUCUUUGUAAUUUCAUUCCUGUAUCUGAACAGGAAUAUAAUUUUUUGAUACUUCUAAUCAUGUGGUCAGGUUUUUUGUUGCUUGCCACGGCAUAUUAAUGUUUUCAAUUCUUCAUUCUAUUGAUAUUCAUUAUUUCAGUAUCGUAGUUGAUCCUUUACCUCGAGUCACGAUCAAACUUGUGUACCGUGGUUUAUCAUUUACCACGAGUCAUGAUCAAACUUGAGUACCGUGGUUCAUCUUUUACCUCGAGUCACGAUCAAACUUGUGUACCGUGGUUUAUCCUUUACCUUGAGUCAUGAUCAAACUUGAGUACGAUGGUUUAUCCUUUACCUUGAGUCAUGAUCAAACUUGAGUACUGUGGUUUAUCCUUUACCUUGAGUCAUGAUCAAACUUGAGGACGGUGGUUUAUCCUUUCCUCGAGUCAUGAUCAAACUUUAGUACGGUGGUUUAUCCAUUUAUCGAGACUGAUCAAACUUGAGUACUGUAGUUUUUCCAUUUAUCGAGUCAAAAUCAAACUUUAGUAUUGUGGUUUCUUUAUCCUUUCCUCGAUUCAUAAUCAAACUUGAGUAUCAUUGCUUAUCCUUGCCUGGAGAGGGCAUUAAUGGCCUCUUAUUUCAUUUCUUGAUCUGAUUAUUUGUUGUCACUACUUGUUCCUUUCUUUUUUGGUUUGUUUUUUUUCCCCAAGUACAGUCGUGAUAUAUUUUUCAUACUUUUUAUAAAAUAUUCUGCCCAGUUAUGUGGUACUGUCACAUUUAUUAGUAUAAGUGCAGUUACCUGUUACUGUCACAUGUAUCAGUACAGUUAUGUAGUACUGUCACAUGUAUCAGUGCAGUUAUGUAGUACUGUCACAUGUAUCAGUGCAGUUAUGUAGUACUGUCACAUGUAUCAGCACAGUUUCCUGGUACUGUCACAUGUAUCGGCGCAGUUUCCUGGUACUAUCACAUGUAUCAGUGCAGUCACCUGGUACUAUCACAUGUAUCGGUGCAGUUACGUGGAACUGUCACAUUAGUGCAGUUACCUGUUACUGUCACAUGUAUCAGUGCAGUUUCCUCGUACUGUCACAUGUAUCAGUGCAGUUACGUGGAACUGUCACAUUAGUGCAGUUACCUGUUACUGUCACAUGUAUCAGUACAGUUACGUAGUACAGUCACAUGUAUCAGUGCAGUCACCUGGUACUGUCACAUGUAUCAGUGCAGUUACCUGUUACUGUCACAUGUAUCAGUGCAGUCACCUGGUACUGUCACAUGUAUCAGUGCAGUUACCUGGUACUGUCACAUGGAUCAGUACAGUUAUGUAGUACUGUCACAUGUAUCAGUACAGUUAUGUAGUACUGUCACAUGUAUCAGUGCAGUCACCUGGUACUGUCACAUGUAUCAGUACAGUUAUGUAGUACUGUCACAUGUAUCAGUGCAGUUACCUGAUACUGUCACAUGUAUCAGUGCAGUUAUGUAGUACUGUCACAUGUAUCAGUGCAGUUACCUGGUACUGUCACAUAUAUCAGUACAGUUAUGUAGUACUGUCACAUGUAUCAGCACAGUUAUGUAGUACUGUCACAUGUAUCAGUGCAGUUACCUGGUACUGUCACAUAUAUCAGUACAGUUAUGUAGUACUGUCACAUGUAUCAGCACAGUUAUGUAGUACUGUCACAUGUAUCAGUGCAGUUACCUGGUACUGUCACAUGUAUCAGUACAGUUAUGUAGUACUGUCACAUGUAUCAGUGCAGUUACCUGGUACUGUCACAUAUAUCAGUACAGUUAUGUAGUACUGUCACAUGUAUCAGUACAGUUAUGUAGUACUGUCACAUGUAUCAGUGCAGUUACCUGGUACUGUCACAUGUAUCAGUACAGUUAUGUAGUACUGUCAUAAUUAUUUCAGUCUUGAUAGAGCACUUGUUUUGUCAAUUCAUUGUUUUUUAUGAACAGCAUUUCCUUUCAGUUACAUUUUAGAUUAUUUAAGUGGAUUCUAAAUAAUCUCUAACUAUUGAUGAAUUAUUGAAAGUUAUAUUAAAUAUUGAUUACUUUGGACUAAGUCAUGGGCCUGACUGAAUGUUCUGUCUGGGAAUCUUGUGGUAUCUUACACUGUUUAAUGGUGUUUUGUAUUGACGUAUUUUUAAUGGGGCAUAAGGUCGUGUACAAGACUAAUGGUAUGUCAGGAACUGUUGUGUAUGUCACUGCAUUAAUGGAUGUUGUUAUAAUUAUUACAAAAUGAAAUAUUGGUAAUCCAAAUUCCAUGUGAUCAUUAUUGAGAAUCAAUAUUUGAUUCAAUAUUUUGUUACAUUGAUAUGUAAUUACUAAAUUAGAAGAUUUGUUCUGAUGAAAAGAUACUUCUGUGUGCUUGUGAGCAAUGGCGACUGAUGCAGGGAUAAAACAUUUAAAAACAAAUGAAAUGUAAUAAUGUACAAAUAUUUAUUAAGUUUUGAUUUCGAUUGUUAGUUCUUGUUCAAGUUUUAUUAUGACAUUAUGCAGUCACUUUAUAACAGCCUGUCCAGUUAUCACAUUCCUAUGCAGGGCUACAAUUUUUGAAAAGUCAGACAAAGAAUACAAUUGCUGAAUAAUGAAACUUUGGAGGUUGUAUGUACUAAAAAGAUAAUCUAUUUUAUCCUACAAUAAAAUAAAGGAACAAGUUGACUUGAUAGGUCAAUACAGACACUGGGGACUAAAACAGACACAGAAGGACGAGGUGGACUAAUACACACACAGCAGGACGAGGUGGACUAAUACAGAUACAGUAGGACAAGGUGGACUAAUACAGAUACAGUAGGACAAGGUGGACUAAUACAGACACAGGACAAGGUGGACUAAUACAGAUACAGUAGGACAAGGUGGACUAAUACAGACACAGGACAAGGUGGACUAAUACAGAUACAGUAGGACAAGAUGGAAUAAUACAGACACAGUAGGACAAGGUGGACUAACACCGACACAGUAGGACAAGGUAGACUUAUACAGACACAGUAGGACAAGAUGGACUAAUACAGACACAGUAGGACAAGGUGGACUAAUACAGACACAGUAGGACAAGGUGGACUAAUACAGACACAGUAGGACAAGGUGGACUAAUACAGAUACAGUAGGACAAGGUGGACUAAUACAGACACAGUAGGACAAGGUGGACUAAUACAGAUACUGGACAAGGUGAACUAAAACAGACACAGUAGGACAAGGUGGACUAAUACAGACACAGGACAAGGUGGACUAAUACAGACACAGUAGGACAAGGUGGACUAAUACCGACACAGUAGGACAAGGUGGACUUAUACAGAUACAGUAGGACAAGGUGGACUUAUACAGAUACAGUAGGACAAGAUGGAAUAAUACAGAUACAGUAGGACAAGGUGGACUAAUACAGACACAGUAGGACAAGAUGGAAUAAUACACACACUGUAGGACAAGGUGGACUUAAACAGACACAGGACAAGGUGGACUAAUAAUACAGACACAGGACAAGGUGGACUAAUACAGACACAGUAGGACAAGGUGGACUAAUACAAACACAAGACAAGGUGGACUAAUAAUACAGACACAGGACAAGGUGGACUAAAACAGACACAGUAGGACAAGGUGGACUAAUACAGAUACAGUAGGACAAGGUGGACUAAUACAGACACAGUAGGACAAGGUGGACUAAAACAGACACAGUAGGACAAGGUGGACUUAAACACAGGACAAGGUGGACUAAUACAGACACAGGACAAGGUGGACUAAUACAGAUACAGUAGAACAAGGUGGACUAAUACAGACACAGUAGGACAAGGUGGACUAAUACAGACACAAGACAAGGUGGACUUUCACAAACACUAAAAGGUCUAGAUUGAGUGGCCAGAACAGGCAGUGUAGGCAUCAAACGAAUUAUCAACGAAAAACAUGAUAGUGCUGAACAGUAAUUUUACAUACAAAAGCAAUUACUUUGGAUAGAUCUUUAACAAACUGAUAGCUUUGUGUGAGGUGGAUCAACAACAACCAAUCAAUCGUACUACAUCCUAUCAUCAGGAUGGUCUCCGUGUGUAGAGUUUCUUUUUUGACAGCUGCUGUCAAUUAAAAUUCAAAUUUAAUCACAACUACAUGGACACGAUUUAAUGUUGGUUUACCAGGGCAGUUGAAAAAGGGUUGAAGGAAUGCUCCUGAUUUCUUAUAACAGACUGAAGUUAUCAAGUAAUUUUUUGUGGGCUACACAGUGCUAGUACAACAUUUGGUAGAUUCCAACAAUAGGGUGAACAUGUAUUAACUGGUAUUUCACCCUUGAUAAUUAGAGUAAAUGUAAUGUUCAAGCUGGUACACACAACUUUUGCUUUUUUAGAGCAGCGUUAUGAACAUGUUUUGAUUGUAAUGUUCAAUAUCAACAGAAAACUACAGCUCUGCCUGCCAUUGUAUCUCAGCACAAGACUAGCUUAGUCAAAAAGUGGUUAGCCAAAUAUGUUGGUCAUUGUACUGGUGAAAAGUAGUGAGUCAUUUUACAGUGUGGUCUAAGGAUGAUCAUUGUGCUGAUUGAGUGUUGGCCUGUGGUCUGACUAAGUUGGGUAUGUGGUAGGCCAGUCUGGCAAAGUAUGGAGAGUGUUUUCUGGUCAGCCAGUGUUCUUGCAGUAUUUUCUACAGCCGGCAACGUUGCUUUUGGAGUGAGGUUUAUGGUUGGCUAGUUUGCAAACUAGAGUGUGGUCUGUGGUUGGCCAGUGUGCUGUCAGAAUGUGGUCUGUAGUUGGCCAGUGUGCUGGCUGAAUGUGGUCUGUAGUUGGCCAGUGUGCUGGCUGAGUGUGGUCUGUAGUUGGCCAGUGUGCUGGCUGAGUGUGGUCUGUAGUUGGCCAGUGUGCUGGGUGAGUGUGGUCUGCGGUUGGCCAGUGUGCUGGCCGAGUGUGGUCUGUGGUUGGCCAUUGUCCUGGCUGAGUGUGGUCUGUGGUUGGCCAGUGUGCUGGCCGAGUGUGGUCUGUGGUUGGCCAUUGUCCUGGCUGAGUGUGGUCUGUGGUUGGCCAUUGUCCUGGCUGAGUGUGGUCUGUGGUUGGCCAGUGUGCUGGCCGAGUGUGGUCUGUGGUUGGCCAUUGUCCUGGCUGAGUGUGGUCUGUGGUUGGCCAUUGUCCUGGCUGAGUGUGGUCUGUGGUUGGCCAUUGUCCUGGCUGAGUGUGGUCUGUGGUUGGCCAGUGUGCUGGCUGAAUGUGAUCUGUGAUUGCCUGGUAUGCUGAUUGAGAGUGUAGCUGGAGGUUCACCAGUUUAGGGAGGAGUUAUCACUUUUUUCCGAGUGUGCUGUGAUUAGUCUGGCAGUACUUUUGCUGAUUAUGAACGGUUACUGGUCAGAGUUUUGUCUGUGUAGAGCUGGGAGCUAGAUCAAGCCUUGGGUAUUAUAGUGGUUUUGCCUCAGGUUUUUUUUGUGAGUAUUCUUUGAUGUGUAAUACCAGUGACACAUAUCUCAAGUAUUAUUUUACCUACAAAGAUCUGAACUUUGUACUCGAAUAUUGAUGUGAUCUAUAACUUCUAUAUAUUGUCAAACGAACAACUAUUAAAGCCAUGACUAUGAGAA